rnacentral:rRNA from 1 species
GACGAACGCGGCGGCGUGCUUAACACAUGCAAGUCGAACGCUGAAGCUCAGCUUUUGUUGGUGGAUGAGUGGCGAACGGGUGAGUAACACGUGAGUAACCUGCCCCCUUCUUUGGGAUAACGCCCGGAAACGGGUGCUAAUACGGGAUAUUCACUUGCCUUCGCAUGGGGGUUGGUGGAAAGGGUUUUUUCUGGUGGGGGAUGGGCUCGCGGCCUAUCAGCUUGUUGGUGGGAUGAUGGCCUACCAAGGCUUUGACGGGUAGCCGGCCUGAGAGGGUGACCGGUCACAUUGGGACUGAGAUACGGCCCAGACUCCUACGGGAGGCAGCAGUGGGGAAUAUUGCACAAUGGGCGAAAGCCUGAUGCAGCGACGCCGCGUGAGGGAUGGAGGCCUUCGGGUUGUAAACCUCUUUCGCUCAUGGUCAAGCCGCAGCUUUGGGUUGUGGUGAGGGUAGUGGGUAAAGAAGCGCCGGCUAACUACGUGCCAGCAGCCGCGGUAAUACGUAGGGCGCGAGCGUUGUCCGGAAUUAUUGGGCGUAAAGGGCUUGUAGGCGGUUGGUCGCGUCUGCCGUGAAAUCCUCUGGCUUAACUGGGGGCGUGCGGUGGGUACGGGCUGACUUGAGUGCGGUAGGGGAGACUGGAACUCCUGGUGUAGCGGUGGAAUGCGCAGAUAUCAGGAAGAACACCGGUGGCGAAGGCGGGUCUCUGGGCCGUUACUGACGCUGAGGAGCGAAAGCGUGGGGAGCGAACAGG